UACGGGGGGGGCAAGCGUUGUUCGGAAUUACUGGGCGUAAAGGGCCAGUAGGCGGCCAACUAAGUCCGACGUGAAAUCCCCAGGCUUAACCUGGGAACUGCGUCGGAUACUGGAUGGCUUGAAUUCGGGAGAGGGAUGCGGAAUUCCAGGUGUAGCGGUGAAAUGCGCAGAUAUCAGGAAGAACACCCGUGGCUAAGGCGGCUCUCUAGUACGGUACUGACGCUGAGGCGCGAAAGCCAGGGGAGCAAACGGG
rnacentral:rRNA from 1 species